UACAGAGGGGGCAAGCGUUGUUCGGAAUUACUGGGCGUAAAGGGCGCGUAGGCGGCCUGUUAAGUCGAACGUGAAAUCCCUGGGCUCAACCCAGGAACUGCGUCCGAUACUGGCAGGCUUGAAUCCGGGAGAGGGAUGUGGAAUUCCAGGUGUAGCGGUGAAAUGCGUAGAUAUCUGGAGGAACACCGGUGGCGAAGGCGGCUACCUGGCCCAACAUUGACGCUGAGACCCGAAAGCAUGGGGAUCAAACAGG
rnacentral:rRNA from 1 species